rnacentral:rRNA from 1 species
GAUGAACGCUAGCUACAGGCUUAACACAUGCAAGUCGAGGGGUAACAAGAGAAAAGCUUGCUUUUCUUGUUGACGACCGGCGCACGGGUGAGUAACGCGUAUCCAACCUGCCUAUAACUAGGGAAUAACCUUGCGAAAGUAAGACUAAUACCCUAUGAUUUCCUUUGAUGACAUCAGAUUAGGAAUGAAGACUUAUCGGUUAUACAUGGGGAUGCGUCUGAUUAGCUUGUUGGCGGGGUAACGGCCCACCAAGGCAACGAUCAGUAGGGGUUCUGAGAGGAAGGUCCCCCACAUUGGAACUGAGACACGGGCCAAACUCCUACGGGAGGCAGCAGUGAGGAAUAUUGGUCAAUGGGCGGAAGCCUGAACCAGCCAAGUAGCGUGCAGGAUGACGGCCCUAUGGGUUGUAAACUGCUUUUAUACAGGAAUAAAGUUAGCCACGUGUGGUUAUUUGUAGGUACUGUAUGAAUAAGGACCGGCUAAUUCCGUGCCAGCAGCCGCCGUAA